UACGUAGGUGGCAAGCGUUGUCCGGAUUUAUUGGGUUUAAAGGGUGCGUAGGCGGUUCUAUAAGUCAGUGGUGAAAUACCGGCAGCUCAACUGUCGAGGUGCCAUUGAUACUGCAGAACUUGAGUACAGACGAGGUAGGCGGAAUUGACGGUGUAGCGGUGAAAUGCUUAGAUAUCGUCAAGAACACCGAUAGCGAAGGCAGCUUACUAGACUGAUAACUGACGCUGAGGCACGAAAGUGUGGGGAGUCAAACAGG
rnacentral:rRNA from 1 species